rnacentral:piRNA from 1 species
GAGGUAUUGGUGCUGUUGU